rnacentral:rRNA from 1 species
UAGGGAAUCUUCCGCAAUGGGCGAAAGCUUGACGGAGCAACGCCGCGUGAGUGAUGAAGGUCUUCGGAUCGUAAAACUCUGUUAUUAGGGAAGAACAAAUGUGUAAGUAACUAUGCACGUCUUGACGGUACCUAAUCAGAAAGCCACGGCUAACUACGUGCCAGCAGCCGCGGUAAUACGUAGGUGGCAAGCGUUAUCCGGAAUUAUUGGGCGUAAAGCGCGCGUAGGCGGUUUGUUAAGUCUGAUGUGAAAGCCAACGGCUCAACCGUGGAGGGUCAUUGGAAACUGGAAAACUGGAGUGCAGAAGAGGAAAGUGGAAUUCCAUGUGUAGCGGUGAAAUGCGCAGAGAUAUGGAGGAACACCAGUGGCGAAGGCGACUUUCUGGUCUGUAACUGACGCUGAUGUGCGAAAGCGUGGGGAUCAAACAGG